GGUAUAGUUCUUCGGAACUAGAGACCGGCGCACGGGUGCGUAACGCGUAUGCAAUCUACCUUUUACAGAGGGAUAGCCCAGAGAAAUUUGGAUUAAUACCUCAUAGCAUAGCAACUUCGCAUGAAGUCACUAUUAAAGUCACAACGGUAAAAGAUGAGCAUGCGUCCCAUUAGCUAGUUGGUAAGGUAACGGCUUACCAAGGCUACGAUGGGUAGGGGUCCUGAGAGGGAGAUCCCCCACAAUGGUACUGAGACACGGACCAGACUCCUACGGGAGGCAGCAGUGAGGAAUAUUGGACAAUGGGCGCAAGCCUGAUCCAGCCAUGCCGCGUGCAGGAUGACGGUCCUAUGGAUUGUAAACUGCUUUUAUACGAGAAGAAACACUCCAACGUGUUGGAGCUUGACGGUAUCGUAAGAAUAAGGAUCGGCUAACUCCGUGCCAGCAGCCGCGGUAAUACGGAGGAUCCAAGCGUUAUCCGGAAUCAUUGGGUUUAAAGGGUCCGUAGGCGGUUUAGUAAGUCAGUGGUGAAAGCCCAUCGCUCAACGGUGGAACGGCCAUUGAUACUGCUAAACUUGAAUUAUUAGGAAGUAACUAGAAUAUGUAGUGUAGCGGUGAAAUGCUUAGAGAUUACAUGGAAUACCAAUUGCGAAGGCAGGUUACUACUAAUGGAUUGACGCUGAUGGACGAAAGCGUGGGUAGCGAACAGGAUUAGAUUACCCUGGUAGUCCACGCCGUAAACGAUGGAUACUAGCUGUUGGAAGCAAUUUCAGUGGCUAAGCGAAAGUGAUAAGUAUCCCACCUGGGGAGUACGUUCGCAAGAAUGAAACUCAAAGGAAUUGACGGGGGCCCGCACAAGCGGUGGAGCAUGUGGUUUAAUUCGAUGAUACGCGAGGAACCUUACCAAGGCUUAAAUGUAGAUUGACCGGUUUGGAAACAGAUCUUUCGCAAGACAAUUUACAAGGUGCUGCAUGGUUGUCGUCAGCUCGUGCCGUGAGGUGUCAGGUUAAGUCCUAUAACGAGCGCAACCCCUGUUGUUAGUUGCCAGCGAGUCAUGUCGGGAACUCUAACAAGACUGCCAGUGCAAACUGUGAGGAAGGUGGGGAUGACGUCAAAUCAUCACGGCCCUUACGCCUUGGGC
rnacentral:rRNA from 1 species